rnacentral:snoRNA from 1 species
AAGAAGACCCUUUUAUCCCUCCUCCUGCUGAGAGUAAGUGUUUCCUACAAUCUCUGUCUGACUCAUUUCCAUAGUAAGACAGGGACACUUGGUCUCAAACAU